CCCUGGUUUUCCAUGCGCUCCUGCUCCAUUCCUUCACAUUCUGCCGGCCCACCAGCAGCCCCAUUCACAGCUGCUCCAUCAUCACCUCACCCAGGAUGGGCAGGGUGGGCCAAGCCAGAGAAGCCAGUCCAGCACCAUGCAGCAGAAGACCCAGGUCAACAAAUCCAACUAUGGCAGCUCCCCUUAUUGGGGCAACUGAGCGCAGUCCACAGCGCAGGUGCUGUCCCGCACCGAUGACACGCCGAUCAAAGCAGAGGGACACCCGUACACACUACCAUCAUCCUCAUCCUCCUCCCACGUUCUCAUCUCCCUUUUUCAAAGUUUUGGCUGUUGUAUGUAAAGUAUAUUUAUGUAUGUAUUUAUACAGUAUAUAUGUAUUGGUAGGAUAUGAAAUGUGGUUUUUCUGCAUUUUGUUUUUGAAGGAUUUUUUUUUUUUUUUUUUUUUCAUUGCUAACUGGCUAAGAGGAUAUGAUGAGAGAGAGAAGUGAUGAGAACAGAAGGGUGAAUAUACUUGAAGCAGAGCAAGCAUCAUGAUUCGAACAUGGGAGUUUUUAUUUGUAUACAUAACCCUGAUAAUGUAUGUACAUUACUGCUAAGCUUGAUCACUUGAUGGUGAAGCCUUUUUUUAACUUUUGUAUUUUGCUCUUCUCCCACCCCCUUCACCUGUGAACUUUUUUUCUAUCGAGGGGGAAUUUAAUUUCAACGCUUAAUUUUCUUCCCUCUGCCCUUCAUUUGUGUCCCCUGUCCCUCUCCCCCCCCCAAACCACCAAAUUGGCUAAACGGUAGCAUUUUAGAUCAGAUUUCAUUUUAACAUUGGUUUUACCCUUGUUGUCAAAAUAAAACUGUCCAGUUUA